CAGGUUGUGAAACCCUCAGGCAGAGGUGCCUUUCUGAACCCAGAGGAAGGAGCAUCCUCAUCUCCAAAGACAAAGGGACCCCGAGAAGAAUCCGAAAAACAGGCCUUGCUCAGUUUCCCUUUUACUACACUGACUUCAUACUCUCUGACCUCUCAGAGUUCUACACGACCGCCCACUCUUCAUCAAACUGAGUGGUGAUGCAAAUAAUCCAUAAUCAAUCUAGAGAUCAAAAUUGGGGUGAGUUUAUUAUAUGAGCCAGUUUUGAGGACUACAGCCCUGGAAAGAAACUUCACCAAGGAAGGAAGCACCCCGAAGAAGCAGGGCAUACAGAGUGGUUAUAUACUGUCUUGGAACAAGGAACAUACAUCAAAUAUGACAGGAAUAUCUCUUUUACUGAAGUCUCAAGAUGUUUUGCUAGCACAGCAGACCCAGCCAGAGACCCUAAGAGGGUCAAGGAAAACUUUUUCCUCUCCUACAAUAUGCAAAUAAAGAUGGGCGCAAUUGAAAGGCACUGAUACCCAGCAGGGAAAUCUCUCCUUGAGCUCUGCCCGCAUCCUUUAUUAUGGAAGGCCUGCUUUGUAAUGGAGUCAUUAUCUUGCUGAGGACUGAGUAAGAGAAAGUGGUCCUUCUGUCCUGUAUUAAAGUGCCUGCUCGUUGACUCAGUUAUUAAAAUAAGAGAGAAAAAAGCUCCUUGUUCUAAUUUUCCUUAUCAGCCUCCACAGGGCCCAUUUCAGGCUGCCUGUGAAGUGUUAGAACGCAAUUGUGUGCUUGAAUAAAAAGGAGAAACUGAAUUAGAGACUCUUAAGACCAUUAUAUUGUCUUAUUUAGUGACACUGUUUGCCUCACCAAAAGCAAUGGGCUAAGUGUUCUUCCUGAGUAAUAAUAAUAAUAAUAAUACCAACAUUUAACUAGCACUUUACACUUUGCAAAGCACUUUCGCAUAUGUUAUCCCUUUUGAUCUAUGCAACAACGCUGGGGAGGAUCAGGUGGGUGUUAUGAUCAUCAAUUUACAAAGGAAGGGCUUGAAUCAUGCUUAAGUUACAGCUUUAAAACUUCAAAGCCAGGAUUUGAAAGCAGAAGAGCCGGGUAUUGGAGCAGAGUUCGUCCCGUCUUUGGUAGGUGCCACAGACAGCCCUCCAGCUCCUCAGGGACUCAACGCUGAACCCCUCGCCCACCUCUGGGUAGUGGCCUCUGGGUCCUAAUUUAAAUGACUAGUCUUCAGAGGACAGAAAUGAGGCAAAUCAGAAGCACCUCAUCAUAGCCAGCAUGCACAUGAACAUUUGCUAUUAAUCCCUACAUUAUGGAGGACGGGUCGUUUUUAAGGGUUGAAGUUUUCGUGUUUUCUUUUGUUUGGU
rnacentral:lncRNA from 1 species